CCUCUCGAAAGAGAGAUUAACACCGCAUAACAUCAUUUACCGGCAUCGGUUUUUGAUCAAAUAUUUAUAGGAUAUGGAUGGGCUCGCGUGACAUUAGCUAGUUGGAGAGGUAACGGCUCACCAAGGCUACGAUGUCUAGGGGCUCUGAGAGGAGAAUCCCCCACACUGGUACUGAGACACGGACCAGACUCCUACGGGAGGCAGCAGGUAAGGAAUAUUGGUCAAUGGAGGCAACUCUGAACCAGCCAUGCCGCGUGCAGGAUGACUGCCCUAUGGGUUGUAAACUGCUUUUGUCAGGGAAUAAACCUUUCUACGUGUAGAAAGCUGAAUGUACCUGAAGAAUAAGGAUCGGCUAACUCCGUG
rnacentral:rRNA from 1 species